AAUAAGUUGAAUUUAUAGCUUUUUGUAGCUCUUUCUCCAGAAUGAUUAACAGAACAUUGACAAGCUGUUUACAAAAAAGGCUUGCAGACCAUCAGGUUAUAAUUUCACUUAUUUAUGCUUCCCUCAAAGUGAAAAGAUUGAUUUCAUUAGUUGUUCUCUGUUCUGAAUAUUUAACAUUGCAGACAGAUAAUAGUUGCUAGUCUAUGUAGGGCAAGAGAUCAGAGCAACACACAUGUCAGUAAAAUAUUCAAUCCACCAUGCACCAAAUGCAGUAAAGAUUUUCCUCCCUAACAAGAUUACAAUGUUUUACUAAAACCAACACUCACCAGCAGCACGACUGCAGUUGACGCCACCUCAAAGAAGCUGCUCAAGUUCAACAAAUGAUCAGAGGAAGUUAGUUGGUGAAAGCGUAAUCAAAUGACAUCUGAGGUGGGGGAUGUGGGCAGGAACACCAAAGAACCAGUACAGUCAGAUGGAGUAUGAGAAUGGAGAACCCUGCUGGCAAGGAGGUUCACGCACUACUACAGUCACACUGACAUGCGGAACGGAGACAGCCUUGAGAUUGGUGAAGGAGCCCAGCAAAUGCCAGUACAUCAUGGACUUUCAGACUCCUGUGGCCUGUCAGCCAGUGCUGAAGCAGCGGGGAAUACACAGUGAACUGUGACCCCUUCCCUUACUGGCAUAGCCUAGAUUAAUUUAGCCCGCCUUGGCUUGCCCACAGUGACAGGCUGGGGUCCUGAGGGUCCCCUCUGACAUCUGUGUUGUCAGAACAUAUAUACUUCCACACAAGUCUUGCUAAGGUCAGAAUCAGAUUUUCAGUAACACUGCUCCUAGACCACUUUAGUUUUCAUUAAUUAUUACAGUGUUGCUUUAUUUUCACGUGUUAAUAUUUGAAUAGACUUAGGUUACACAAGAAUUCUUCACACUGCAGUCUAUUCCUUAUACAAUUUUACACUUAAGGCGCUACAAGAUUAGUAUGUUACUACACUCCAUUGUUGUCCAAAAAAACAACAUGCACAGAAUAUGUUUCUUCCUUAUCAUGAACAUGGCCAAUGUUGUUUAUUUUGAGUCUGCUGUAAAUAUUCACUCAAGCUAACCCUAACCCUAACCCUAACCCUAUUAAUCCACAGUUGAAAGUAGUCCCCAACAAAUGCACUUUUUACUCUGAGCAACGUUUGCUAAAAACUACAGUGCCCAGCUGUUUUAGGAAAGUCAAAAAGUAUUGAGAGACAAAGUAACACAUUGUUGGUUUUGGUCUUUUCAAGAUUUUCAGGUGUUUUCUUGUCUUGUUGACAACAGGAAAAAUACAAAAGAAAGUGAGCUUUAUCCUUUAAAUACUGUUUUCACUGCACUAUAUUUCAGUAUGUUAAAGCAACAUCAAAGAUUAUUUUGUACCUUAAAAUAAUGUUUCCAAAAUUGUUUCAGUAGUUCAUCAACUCGUAACAGGGUGAACGCCACUUCUGCAUUCGCUUUGCGGCCCUCUGUCGGCUAUAACCGCACUAUGCAAGUUUGCCAGAUCGAGUAGCGGAUCUGUUCGAAUGAGAUAUAAGAAACUGUCAUGGACAAUUCCACUUCCAACCUGUAGGGGGACUGAAGAGGAAAAGUGCUUUGGUGUUGCUUUAAUGCUCAACAACAUUACUAUGUAGAUGGCUGAAUAAAUAAAGUGGCAUUGCUACCACUGUAACUGCUGUAUCAAAUAACAAAAUAAAAUUACUUCAUACUUAAUUUUCA